CGCUGGCGGCGUGCCUAACACAUGCAAGUCGAACGGGGAUUUGUUCGGCAGAAUCCUAGUGGCGAACGGGUGAGUAACGCGUAGGCAACCUGCCCCCCGGCCGGGGACAACACGCCGAAAGGUGUGCUAAUACCGGAUACGAAGACGGCAUCGCAUGGUGCCGUUUUGAAAGAUGGCCUCUACUUGUAAGCUAUCACUUAGAGAUGGGCCUGCGUCUGAUUAGCUAGUUGGUGGGGUAACGGCUCACCAAGGCGACGAUCAGUAGCCGGUCUGAGAGGAUGAACGGCCACAUUGGGACUGAGACACGGCCCAGACUCCUACGGGAGGCAGCAGUGGGGAAUCUUCCGCAAUGGGCGAAAGCCUGACGGAGCAACGCCGCGUGAAGUGAAGAAGGUCUUCGGAUCGUAAAGCUCUGUCGAAGGGGACGAACGUGGGUUCUAUCAACAACGGAACCUAAUGACGGUACCUUUCAAGAAAGCCACGGCUAACUACGUGCCAGCCGCUGC
rnacentral:rRNA from 1 species